rnacentral:rRNA from 1 species
GACGAACGCUGGCGGCGUGCUUAACACAUGCAAGUCGAACGAUGAAGCCUAGCUUGCUAGGUGGAUUAGUGGCGAACGGGUGAGUAAUACGUGAGUAACCUACCUUUAACUCUGGGAUAAGCCCGGGAAACUGGGUCUAAUACCGGAUACGACCAAUCUCCGCAUGGGGUGUUGGUGGAAAGCGUUAUGUAGUGGUUAUAGAUGGGCUCACGGCCUAUCAGCUUGUUGGUGAGGUAACGGCUCACCAAGGCGACGACGGGUAGCCGGCCUGAGAGGGUGACCGGCCACACUGGGACUGAGACACGGCCCAGACUCCUACGGGAGGCAGCAGUGGGGAAUAUUGCACAAUGGGCGCAAGCCUGAUGCAGCGACGCCGCGUGAGGGAUGACGGCCUUCGGGUUGUAAACCUCUGUUAGCAGGGAAGAAGAGAGAUUGACGGUACCUGCAGAGAAAGCGCGGCUA